rnacentral:rRNA from 1 species
AGAGUUUGAUCCUGGCUCAGAGCGAACGCUGGCGGCAGGCCUAACACAUGCAAGUCGAGCGCCCCGCAAGGGGAGCGGCAGACGGGAGAGUAACACGUGGGAACGUGCCCUUUGGUUCGGAACAACCCAGGGAAACUUGGGCUAAUACCGGAUACGUCCGUAAGGAGAAAGAUUUAUCGCCAAAGGAUCGGCCCGCGUCUGAUUAGCUAGUUGGUGAGGUAACGGCUCACCAAGGCGACGAUCAGUAGCUGGUCUGAGAGGAUGAUCAGCCUCACUGGGACUGAGACACGGCCCAGACUCCUACGGGAGGCAGCAGUGGGGAAUAUUGGACAAUGGGCGCAAGCCUGAUCCAGCCAUGCCGCGUGGAUGAUGAAGGCCCUAGGGUUGUAAAGUCCUUUCGGCGGGGAAGAUAAUGACGGUACCCGCAGAAGAAGCCCCGGCUAACUUCGUGCCAGCAGCCGCGGUAAUACGAAGGGGGCUAGCGUUGCUCGGAAUCACUGGGCGUAAAGCGCACGUAGGCGGCUUUUUAAGUCAGGGGUGAAAUCCUGGAGCUCAACUCCAGAACUGCCUUUGAUACUGAGAAGCUUGAGUCCGGGAGAGGUGAGUGGAACUGCGAGUGUAGAGGUGAAAUUCGUAGAUAUUCGCAAGAACACCAGUGGCGAAGGCGGCUCACUGGCCCGGUACUGACGCUGAGGUGCGAAAGCGUGGGGAGCAAACAGGAUUAGAUACCCUAGUAGUCC